AUCGCUGGCACACACCCAUUCUCGCAAGGCCACUAGCAGUGAUGUUGUUCGCAAACAUUUGAAAUUAUAGUCAGAGGCACAAAGUUCACAACAAAUUCCGCUCACUGUGCACGAAAAUCCAGACGCCUCUCAAAAGCCAUUCACCUACAUUUUCUAUCAUUUUAUCUUGGUACCCGCCCAAUUCCCACGCCUUUUCUUCGUUGUGCUUACUAUCUUUCUUAAAUUGAUGCGUCCUUGCAUCUUUGUAACUCUUUUUGUUGUAAUUGUUCUUUUCAUUUAAUUAUAUAGAUUAAGAUUUAUAUCAUAGGGCUGUAUCUGAGACAUAUGUAGCCGUAUGAUACAAAUUUUGAAAAGAUACUUGUAAAACAAACACAGUUGGAACAUACCCAACGUGCAGUAUUGUAUUGGAAAGGACAGUGGUUUUAUAUUUGAAUGGGUGAAUAUCUCACUCUUCAUAUUGCAUGAA